rnacentral:rRNA from 1 species
GAUGAACGCUGGCGGCGUGCUUAACACAUGCAAGUCGAACGGAAAGGCUCCUGCUUGCCGGGGUACUCGAGUGGCAAAGGGGGACGUAACAGGUGGGUAUCCGGCCCUGCAUUUCGGGAUAGGCCGGGGAAACUGGGCUUAUUCCCGGAUAGGACACGGGUUUGGAUGCAAUGGUGGAAAUUUUUUUGGGUGUGGGAUGAGCUCGCGGCCUAUCGGCUUGUUGGGGGGGUAAUGGCCUACCAAGGCUUCGACGGGUAGCCGGCCUGAGAGGGUGGACGGCCACAUUGGGACUGAGGUACGGCCCAGACUCCUACGGGAGGCAGCAGUGGGGAAUAUUGCACAAUGGGCGCAAGCCUGAUGCAGCGACGCCGCGUGGGGGAUGACGGCCUUCGGGUUGUAAACUCCUUUCGCUAGGGACGAAGCGCAAGUGACGGUACCUGGAGAAGAAGCACCGGCUAACUACGUG